rnacentral:rRNA from 1 species
GGAAUUUUGCGCAAUGGGCGAAAGCCUGACGCAGCAACGCCGCGUGAGGGAUGAAGGCCUUCGGGUCGUAAACCUCUGUCGGGAGGGACGAACGGUCUGCGGGUGAACAAUCCGCGGAAUUGACGGUACCCCCAAAGGAAGCGCCGGACAACUCCGUGCGAGCCGCCGCGGUAAUACGGAGGGCGCAAGCGUUGUUCGGAAUUACUGGGCGUAAAGCGCGUGUAGGCGGCCAGGUAAGUCGGGUGUGAAAUCCCGGGGCCCAACCCCGGAACUGCGCCCGAAGCUGCCAGGCUGGAGUCCCGGAGAGGAAGGCGGAAUUCCCGGUGUAGAGGUGAAAUUCGUAGAUAUCGGGAGGAACACCAGCGGCGAAGGCGGCCUUCUGGACGGUGACUGACGCUGAGACGCGAAAGCGUGGGGAGCAAAC